CUGACGCAGCAACGCCGCGUGCGGGAUGACGGCCUUCGGGUUGUAAACCGCUUUCAGCAGGGACGAAGCAACACGUGACGGUACCUGCAGAAGAAGCACCGGCCAACUACGUGCCAGCAGCCGCGGUGAUACGUAGGGUGCGAGCGUUGUCCGGAAUUAUUGGGCGUAAAGAGCUUGUAGGCGGUCUAUUGCGUCGAAAGUGAAAACUCAGGGCUCAACCCUGAGCCUGCUCUCGAUACGGGUAGACUUGAGGGAUGUAGGGGAGAACGGAAUUCUUGGUGGAGCGGUGGAAUGCGCAGAUAUCAGGAGGAACACCGGUGGCGAAGGCGGUUCUCUGGACAUUUCCUGACGCUGAGAAGCGAAAGCGUGGGUAGCAAACAGGCUUAGAUACCCUGGUAGUCCACGCCGUAAACGGUGGGUACUAGGUGUGGGGGACAUUCCACGUUCUCCGUGCCGCAGCUAACGCAUUAAGUACCCCGCCUGGGGAGUACGGCCGCAAGGCUAAAACUCAAAGGAAUUGACGGGGCCCCGCACAAGCGGCGGAGCAUGCGGAUUAAUUCGAUGCAACGCGAAGAACCUUACCUGGGUUUGACAUAUGCCGGAAAGGCCUAGAGAUAGGUCCCCCCUUGUGGCCGG
rnacentral:rRNA from 1 species